rnacentral:tRNA from 1 species
GCCUAAGUAUCUUAUUAAAGUUUCGAGUUGCAAACUCGAAUAAGGAGUAAAUUCCCGGGGCU